rnacentral:rRNA from 1 species
GAUGAACGCUGGCGGCGUGCCUAAUACAUGCAAGUCGAGCGAACAGACGAGGAGCUUGCUCCUCUGAUGUUAGCGGCGGACGGGUGAAUAACACGUGGAUAACCUACCUAUAAGACUGGGAUAACUUCGGGAAACCGGAGCUAAUACCGGAUAAUAUUUUGAACCGCAUGGUUCAAUAGUGAAAGACGGUUUUGCUGUCACUUAUAGAUGGAUCCGCGCUGCAUUAGCUAGUUGGUAAGGUAACGGCUUACCAAGGCAACGAUGCAUAGCCGACCUGAGAGGGUGAUCGGCCACACUGGAACUGAGACACGGUCCAGACUCCUACGGGAGGCAGCAGUAGGGAAUCUUCCGCAAUGGGCGAAAGCCUGACGGAGCAACGCCGCGUGAGUGAUGAAGGUCUUCGGAUCGUAAAACUCUGUUAUUAGGGAAGAACAAAUGUGUAAGUAACUAUGCACGUCUUGACGGUACCUAAUCAGAAAGCCACGGCUAACUACGUG